rnacentral:tRNA from 1 species
GGAGAGGUGGCCGAGCUGGUUUAAGGCGCACGCCUGCUAAGCGUGUGUAGGGCAAAACCUUACCGAGGGUUCAAAUCCCUCCCUCUCCGCCA